rnacentral:rRNA from 1 species
ACAUGCCUACAUCAUAGCGUUAAUGCACCAGAUUCCAUUAGAAUUCUGCACUUAAGUGCACUCAGGAUAGAGUAGUACUCAGAUGGGUGACCACCUGGGAAGUUCUAGUGUUUUACAUGCC